CCCGCUCCACAGCGCUGCAGCGCGGGCUUUAACCGCCUCGGUCGCCGGCCGGUCACGGCCUGGACGGCGGAGCCGCUGCGGACGGAGUCGGAGCGAACUCGGGGCUCGAACUCGGGCGGGAGCUCGGAGCCGGGACAGCGCCCCGCCGGCCCCGCCGCUCCGCCCCGCGCCUCGGUCCCGGCCCCGCUCCGCUCCGCCGAUGGCAGCCCCGGGCUCCGGCUUCUGGUCCUUCGGGGCCGAGGACGGCGCCGGGGACCCCGAGAACCCCGGCCCAGCCCGAGCCUGGUGCCAGGCGGCCCAGAAGUUCACCGGCGGCCUCGGGAGCAAGCUGUGCGCCCUGCUCCUCGGGGACGCCGAGCGGCCGGCGGACGGCGGCGGGCGCGGGCCUCCGCGGGGCUCUGCCCGGAAGGCCGCCUGCGCCUGCGCCUGCACCUGCGAGCGGAAGCCCUGCGGCUGCGGCCACGCCGCGGUGGACUACGCGGGUCUACGCGCAACAGAUCUGCUGCCAGCCUGUGAUGGAGAAAGUCCCACUUUGGCGUUUUUGCAAGAUGUUAUGGACAUUUUGCUUCAGUAUGUGGUGAAAAGUUUCGAUAGAUCAACCAAAGUCAUUGAUUUUCAUUAUCCCAAUGAGCUUCUGCAAGAGUAUAAUUGGGAAUUGGCAGAUCAGCCGCAAAAUCUGGAGGAAAUUUUGACGCAUUGUCAAACAACUCUAAAAUAUGCAAUUAAAACAGGGCAUCCUAGAUAUUUUAAUCAACUUUCCACUGGAUUGGAUAUGGUUGGAUUGGCAGCAGACUGGCUGACAUCGACAGCAAACACUAACAUGUUCACCUAUGAGAUCGCUCCAGUGUUUGUGCUUUUGGAAUAUGUCACACUGAAGAAAAUGAGAGAAAUCGUUGGCUGGCCAGGAGGCGCUGGCGAUGGGAUCUUUUCUCCUGGGGGCGCCAUAUCCAACAUGUACGCCAUGCUGAUCGCGCGCUACAAGAUGUUCCCGGAGGUCAAGGAGAAGGGGAUGGCGGCCGUGCCCAGGCUCAUCGCCUUCACGUCCGAGCACAGUCAUUUUUCUCUCAAGAAGGGAGCUGCAGCCCUGGGGAUUGGAACGGACAGUGUGAUUCUGAUUAAGUGCGACGAGAGGGGGAAAAUGAUUCCAUCUGAUCUUGAAAGAAGAAUCCUUGAAGUCAAACAAAAAGGAUUUGUUCCUUUCCUUGUGAGUGCCACAGCUGGAACCACUGUAUAUGGAGCAUUUGACCCUCUGUUAUCUGUGGCUGACAUUUGCAAAAAGUACAAGAUCUGGAUGCACGUAGAUGCCGCUUGGGGUGGGGGAUUACUGAUGUCCCAGAAACACAAGUGGAAGCUGAGCGGAGUGGAGAGGGCCAACUCUGUGACAUGGAAUCCACACAAGAUGAUGGGUGUCCCCUUGCAGUGCUCGGCUCUCCUGGUUAGAGAAGAGGGGUUGAUGCAGAGUUGCAACCAGAUGCAUGCUUCCUACCUCUUUCAGCAAGACAAACACUACGACCUGUCCUAUGACACUGGGGACAAGGCCCUGCAGUGCGGACGCCAUGUUGAUGUUUUUAAAUUGUGGCUCAUGUGGAGGGCAAAGGGCACUACUGGGUUCGAAGCACAUAUUGAUAAGUGUCUGGAGCUGGCAGAGUAUUUAUACAACAUCAUAAAAAACCGAGAAGGAUAUGAGAUGGUGUUCGAUGGGAAGCCUCAGCACACAAAUGUCUGCUUCUGGUAUGUACCACCCAGUCUGCGUGCUCUGGAGGACAAUGAGGAGAGAAUGAGUCGCCUCUCAAAGGUCGCCCCCGUGAUUAAAGCCAGAAUGAUGGAGUUCGGGACCACGAUGGUCAGCUACCAGCCAUUAGGAGACAAGGUCAACUUCUUCCGCAUGGUCGUCUCAAACCCUGCAGCUACCCACCAAGACAUUGAUUUCCUGAUUGAAGAAAUAGAGCGCCUUGGACAAGAUUUGUCAUAACCUAGGUCACCAAGCCACUUCGAUUCCCUAGGUAGACAGUUAAGCUGUCCUGAGCUGUCUCUAGUAGAGAACAUGCUCUCAGCUAACCCCCUCCUGACAGUUGCCUUUGAGAAUUGUGUGAUUUCACAAAAUACAAGGUGACCGCUACUUUGUCUCUGAGAAACCAAUUUUGGAGUGUUAUAAAUUGCCAACAUUGCAGGUGUUGGCUCUGCUGGGCCCUGGAGUAGGUGCCACGCCUUAGAAUAUGGACAGCGAAUGCACAGGUGUAAAUACAGUGGCAGGACAUAAAUCAAGGGCCCUCAAACUGGGUGUCAUCUUGCAUGCGCUCUCCUGUUUCCAAGUGCUAAAUGCAAACACCGUGUGAUUAUCAGCUGUGUGUGCCGAAUACUCUUCCCAACUGGUGUUUCUGAACAGUGUCAACAUUGUCCCAGCAUCACUCCAUUACUAAAGACAGAAAAACAUUAAAUGAAAUAUACAAGUGUGUGUCAGCCUGUUCUUACCAAAUAUAAACUUGUGUAUGAUCAAAGUAUUUUUUGUGUGUUGUCUCUAAACCCAAAUAAACGUGUGAAUGUGGACAGA